rnacentral:lncRNA from 1 species
AACAAAAACCAAAAAACAAACAAACAAACAAACACCAGUACAACCCCAAAUAUAGACAAGCAGCUCUCUUUGUACCACUGGAGCUUGCUGUCACAGCUCAAGCAGAGGAAAUAGUAGAUUUGCCUGUGUACGUUCGGGGUUAUGCCAACUCAGUGACACUUGGUGUCUGUAAUACACGCAAAUCCUUAAUGUACACAAAAUCUUCCCUGCCUCCCCUAAUCAUAUGCAUCCUGCAAACAGGCCAGAACUCGUGGAUUAAAUCUACUGAGGCCCAAAAUAAAUUAAAUCUCCGAAUCACAGUAAGCUUGCAAGCCGCGGCCAUUCAAAUUGAAGUUUGUCAUUAUUUACGUCAAUUUUCCUGGCCUCCCACACAGCCUGCAAGUACCCAAUGUUCCUACAGCAACAGCAGAGCCCGUACUCUGUGUCCUGGUACUGCUGAGAAAGUUAGUUCUUUUAAAGACAACACAAAGUAAAAGAAAUGCCCUUCUUCUGAUGACUCUAGGGAAACACAAUAUACCCUCAGGGAUACGUUGCAUCCUCAGGAGGGAAUUACCGGGGUUCCUAACUCCCGAUGGCUGGGGCAAUAAACAUUACACAAGCAACUGUUUGCUCAGGGAGCAUUUUUUCCCCAGCAAUCCGGCAAUUCCCCAGCACACCUCCCACAGCAGCUGGCCGGGCACCUUCUGCGGCCCAGGCAGGUAUGGCCCAAGCCUCACAAACCGAUGCUCGGCCCUACAGUGGGCACGAGCUCAGGAUCAAAGCCGUGACGUGGGAGCCUGAAGACAUCCCAAUUGCCCAUCCACUUUGCUCGCCCCUUCUCCUCUUCCCCUCCGCAGGGGCACCACUGGGGCCAGGGGAUCGCACCGCCGCGGCCGCCGGCCUGUCACACCUGGCUUUUCUCCUCCUGCUUGGGGCUCUGGGCCGACGACGAGGAUGGUGGCGGCGGUGGAGGUGGCGGCGCGGCCUGCGGCUCGCUCUCGGCACGCUGGUGCCUGCUGACGAGCGACUUGAGGGGCGCCAUCCACUUCAUCCAGAGGUCCAGGUCGACGUCGCCCCACGGCAGGUUGGGGUCCUUGGCCGCCCGCCGCCGAAAGUCCUCGUCGUAGCUCAUCCACGAGGUGCCCCCGUAGGUGGCGUGCAGCUUGCGGAUGGUGUCCAGGUACUUGAACAUGGCCCCGCAGCGCGCCGGGUGCUUCUCGCACACCACGCUGGCGUACACCAGAAAGGCGGAGACCCACUGGUCCAGCGUGUCCCCCGGCCGCGGGCCGUGCUCGGGGGCCAGCUCUGUGUGGAGCAAGGAAAACAGGUUGUAUGUGUGUUGUGUAAGGAUCCAAGUUUGCACGUGGAGUUUUGCUCACUGGAAACUCGUUGUGACUAACAGUCUCAGCUCUUCAAAAUAAGCAAUGCGCCUUACUGAAAAUGGCAGGAAACAUUUCCAGUGCGUUUGGGAGGUGGGCAUGGCUGUUGUAUCUGCUCCUCGUGCUCCUCACAGCUCUGAAUUUCUCCCUCUGCCGGCUUCCUCACAUCUUCCUGUCCCUAUGUGUUCCACAGAUACAUUUGUAGAGGAGAAAAGUUAAUGCUUGGAGCCACAUAUCUGUAAAGCUGUAUUGUAGAUGUGUCUUUCUCAACCACAUUGCUAGCAUGGGCACAGGAGUGUAGAAACAAACUUGGAUCAUUGCUUCAUGCUUCAGACCUUUUUAGUCUCAGGCAUGAGACCUUACUGAAGGCAUUAAUGGGGAGGGAAAAUGAGGCUUUAAACAAAAACAGCUGCAACCUUAGCUGUGGAGGAUCUAGCAGAGUUUGGAAUUAAGCAAUAGACUGGUUUAUUAAAAUAAGGGGGAAAAAGUUCCUUUCCAGAAAAAAAAUACUGAGAAGCCCGCUCCCAUAUAGAAACAGUGCACAAAACCUGAACACCUACCUCCCUUUGAAGGUGCAUGGGCUAGCACGCUGCUGCUGGUUAAGAACUGUAAGUAAUACCACGCCAGAAAGAACAGUCUGCUCCCUCUGUUGAUGAAAGUAGAAAAUGCUGCCGCGGAGCGCUUACCUGCACAGGCUCCAGGAUGGCCCAGGGUUGGAGGAGAAAGUGCAGCACGAGCGGGAGAUAACUCGUGUGCUGUGCUCAAGAGCUUUUUUCAAACUAGCCCGUCUUUUUCUAAGGAAUUUUAAGAGUUCCCUGCAAUAAUUGUGGGGGGACUGUGGAGAUGGUGGUUUCUCGGGUCAAAGGAAGGAAGCUUAAGCCCCAAAGAACCAGUAGUCCGCUGGUGAUUUCACCUGACGCAAGGAGAUUUAAGACUUGCACUGGAGCUUUUAGCUGGUCUUUCCCUAGGUGUCUUCCACUCCCCCCAUAAAUUAAGUAUAGGUCUGGAAGCAGAACGGGAUUUGUGUUUGUGUUUUGCUUUUCACCCCCCAAAAAUUAAUGGUUGUGCUCCUCACUGACAACAGAGCAGCAGAUGUGAACUCACCCAUGAAGCUAACGGUUAAGUGCAGCUUAAUAAAGUUGAAGCACUAAUUAAGUGGUGGCGUGGG